rnacentral:rRNA from 1 species
GCAUAUCAAUAAGCGGAGGAAAAGAAACCAACCGGGAUUGCCUUAGUAACGGCGAGUGAAGCGGCAAAAGCUCAAAUUUGAAAUCUGGUACCUUCGGUGCCCGAGUUGUAAUUUGGAGAGGGCAACUUUGGGGCCGUUCCUUGUCUAUGUUCCUUGGAACAGGACGUCAUAGAGGGUGAGAAUCCCGUGUGGCGAGGAGUGCGGUUCUUUGUAAAGUGCCUUCGAAGAGUCGAGUUGUUUGGGAAUGCAGCUCUAAGUGGGUGGUAAAUUCCAUCUAAAGCUAAAUAUUGGCGAGAGACCGAUAGCGAACAAGUACAGUGAUGGAAAGAUGAAAAGAACUUUGAAAAGAGAGUGAAAAAGUACGUGGAAUUGUUGAAAGGGAAGGGCAUUUGAUCAGACAUGGUGUUUUGUGCCCUCUGCUCCUUGUGGGUAGGGGAAUCUCGCAUUUCACUGGGCCAGCAUCAGUUUUGGUGGCAGGAUAAAUCCAUAGGAAUGUAGCUUGCCUCGGUAAGUAUUAUAGCCUGUGGGAAUACUGCCAGCUGGGACUGAGGAUUGCGACUUUUGUCAAGGAUGCUGGCGUAAUGGUUAAAUGCCGCCCGUCUUGAAACACGGACC